UCCGCCCCAAAGUUGCCUCCUGCAGACUCCGCCUUCUGCGAGCGGAGUUUAGCGGGAUUCUGUAGUGCUUAAGUCUGAGAGCUGCGGCGCAGGGGAGUGAAUCGUCUGCUGUCAUUCUAUGUUACAAGCCUUAGUUUCUCCUCCGAUUGCUCAGCUUCUGGGAAGAUGGAAGCUGUACUUUGUUGGGCCACGGAGGCGCUGAUCUUUUCGGGCCUCUGGUUGACUUCUGAAUGGCGAGCCUUUUCACCUGAAGUUUCCAUGUCUCCUGGGGAAUCCAGUGCUCACGGACUCGAUCUGAGCCCGGAAAAAUUGUAUGAGGCGGUAGUAGGUGCUAGGCCUACUGUUGAACUCCUUACCCUGAAAAACUCUUAAGCAAUGGAAGGCCUAGCAUUACAGGAAGUUUUAUUGGAGGUCCUUCAGUACAGCUGGCGCUUACUGAGUUCAGUGUGUCAGGCUGUGAUCCUCCGCUUUUAAAAACACGAAUUAGCGACUCUAUGCAAUUCCUGAAACUGUUUUUAAUUGAUCACCAGGGCGCAUUUCGACAGUAUUUCGCUAAGAUGCUGAGGGUCUCAAUUGUUGCGGCUGGCCUGAAACAUGUGAUCCUCCUGCUGCACCUGACGCGAUGGCUGGGAUUAGAGGCCUGCACCAAGAUGCCAGCUUGACAUUAUUCUCAUUUUGCAGAUGUGUAAACAGUCGCAGAAUGUAAGGUUCCUCAAAAACUAAUACUAUGACUAACAUGCAGACUUCAGCCAUGAAUGGGGAUAGAGUCAAGGGCAGGAGACAAAAGCUCUGAGAAGAAACUGAAAUGACCUGAUAAAGUUCUGAAGCAAUGUCAUGACAAGAAGAGGAUUCUUAAAAACUACUAAAGCUUCAAGAAUAAUAGUGGAGAAAUAAUCUAUAAAGUUUUGUGAAAAGAGGAAGAAUCUGGCUUAGAAGACAUUAAUGGGACUAUAAAAUACUCUAGGACUCAGAAUCCUAGUGUUAUCCAUGUGGGACUCCAGAAAAACAAAAGAGACCUACAGUGUCCCUAUCUUCAUCCUUCGGGUUACCCUUUCUCUGACCCUACCAUCUUCCAUCUUAGCUUCUCUGUGCCUCAGAUUUGAGGAGCAACCCCACAGCCAUCCACUUAGAGGGUCUUGUCCUCACAGAAAGCAGCCUAUAAAACAGAAUCAGUGUAUAGUGCCAAGAAUGUCCACAGAAGAAACACCCUGGGAGGAUUUUCUUAGAUGAUGUUUGAGCUGAAUCCUUAAGGUGAAAUACGCUUUUAAUAGUUGGAAACAGAAACAGCAGUUCAAGUGGACAGAUCAUGGCAAACAAAAACUGAAAUAAUGGUUUCAACCGAAAGUUAACCAUAAUUUUAUUUGGAAAUGUAUAUUACUUAUAUAAUAGAUGCCGUGUUCCCUUAUGUAGAAUCAUCCUCAGCACAGAAAUAAGUGUCUUCUAGGCAGCAGGUGUGUUGGCUGCUGAUGUCACCCACCAAUGACUCCCUUCCCAGGCAUUGCCCUCCACUGAAGAAGGCUGCCUAUAUGAGUUUCAUGGCUCUCCUAUGGUAACCCAUAUCCAAUAACUGGUUAAAGCAGAGACACAAAAGCCUAAGCCUUUACCUUUUAACAAGAACAGCUAUACAAGGUUCUCCUAACAGCUCCCUACACCAUCAACUGAGGCCUUUGUUCUGACUGCAUCAUGCUUCAGCUUUCCCCUCAGACAAAUUAUGUUUUCUGAACUAGAUCACAAGUAUUCUGGAUGGUACUCCAAUUAAACUUUGUACAUAC